AUCCCAGAUAAAAGUUUUUGUUUUUAUCUGAUUCAUGGGAGGCAGAUAUAAAUAAUGGCAGUUCGCUGAUAGCAACUUUUGUGUUUAGAAGUAUGCUAAUAGUAGCUCACCAGACACAC